GGGUUCUAUUUUUGUUGGUUUCUAGGGCCGAAGUAAUGAUUAAGAGGGACAGUUGGGGGCAUUCGUAUUUAAUUGUCAGAGGUGAAAUUCUCGGAUUUAUGAAAGACGAACAACUGCGAAAGCAUUUGCCAAGGAUGUUUUCAUUAAUCAAGAACGAAAGUUAGGGGUUCGAAGACGAUCAGAUACCGUCGUAGUCCUAACCAUAAACUAUGCCGACUAGGGAUCGGUGGAUGUUAGCGUUUGACUCCAUCGGCACCUUAUGAGAAAUCAAAGUCUUUGGGUUCCGGGGGGAGUAUGGUCGCAAGGCUGAAACUUAAAGGAAUUGACGGAAGGGCACCACCAGGAGUGGAGCCUGCGGCUUAAUUGACUCAACACGGGAACCCGCCUGCCCCG
rnacentral:rRNA from 1 species